AGAUAGUCCACGAUCCAUGCCACCAGGUGUGAGUCUACUCUCAUCUCUGUCAGCUUGUCCCUAAGGAGCAGAGGUUGGAUGGUGUUGGUUUAGAAACGAUGGUCUUCGUGCAGUGCCGAGCAAAAUCCUGGAGGGGUUCACAUGAGGUAUGAAUGUGAUCUGACAGAACCACUCUAACUAUUGGAAAUACUGUGCAUUGUGGGAUACAUUUUGGCUGCUGAUUAGGCAAUCUCUAAUAAUAAUACAUGUACACAUGCAUACAAGUUCACAUAGGACACCUAGCACAAGUAGCAGCCAAUCAGAUUAAUUUUAGCACCUGAUUCUACCUCAGAGACUCUUUAUCUCUCUCACGAUUGAAUAGCAGUUGAUCAUGUUAAAAAAAAAAAAAAAAAGAAUUAAAUUCACUUGUGAUCAGGUGGGUCAAACUGACCACAUACGGAGUUGGUGAGAAACAAAUGCCCUCUGCAACUACCGAUUAAUCCCUCUAAUCUGCAGCACUAAUGUGAUGCAUGCAAAUGGACGUCUGUAGUGGCGAUGCUCCUCAGAGAAGGUGGGAGUGACACAGAGAAAAAAUAUCAACUGGUGUCACCAGGAAGUUUCCCACUCACAGUGGUCAGGGAUGGGCACUGCGUGGCUAACGGAUGGAACUCUUCAUUUAGCUCAUGCCACAAAGCGAUUGCCUCUAAACCAGUGAACAUGUGUUUGCGACUCACUGCCGACAGUUUACCACAGAGCAAAUCUUUGAACUGAGACAACUGGCGACAAGGGUGGGAUUUGCACUGUGGUCAGGUGGAGUGUAGUGGUGACAGAGUGCAGAGAAGCUGACGCAGAGAGACAUCAGCUGAUAUCACCAGGAAGCGCACCACUCAUAGUGGGCAGAGAUAUGGGGUCUAUGUGGCUGACGGAUGGAGCUCUCCAUUUAGCUCACCCCACAAAGGGCUCACCUCUGAGCCGGAGAUCGUGCAUUUGUGACUCGCUACCAACAGUUCACCACAGAGCAACAAGGGUGGGAUUUCCACCGUGGUCGGGUGGAACGUGUAGGCUGAUUCAGAGAAAGAUCAGCUGACAUCACCAGGAACUGCACUGCUGAUAGUGGUCAGAGAUAUAGGGUCUUCAUGGCUGACAGAUGGAGCUCUUGAUUUAGCUCACCCCCACAAAGCUCUCACCCCUGAGCUGGAGGUUGUGCAUUUGCGACUGGCUGCUGACAGUUCACCACAGAGCAAAUCUUUGAACUGAGACAAUUGGCGACAAGGGUGGGAUUUGCACUGUGGUCAGGUGGAGUGUAGUAGUGACACAGCACAAAGAAGGUGUGGGCUGAUGCAGAGAGAGAUCAGCUGACAUCACCAGGAAGUGCACCACUCAUAAUGGUCAGAGAUGGACUCUGUGCAACCAACAGAUGGAGCUUUCGCCACAAAGUGCUCACCUCUCAGCUGGAGAUCGCAAAUUUGUGACUCGAAGCUGACAGUUCACCACAGAGUCAAUUUUCAAACUGACACAUGUCCUGUCAGUGCGCUCACACCUUAACACAUUAACUCUGAUACUAUGUAGUAAGUGUUAACCAGAAUAUUCCAAAAUAAACAUUAAUAACAGAUAUUUACAGGCUUAAUGACUCUAGACAUGUGACUCAAGACGGUGACAUUCAUAUACAGUAGGAAACUAAUGGAGAGUAAAUUAGCAACAUCAUACAGUGAAAUUACAUGCGCCUGAUACACUGACUGUCAGAAUGAAAUUGAAGCUCAUCUCUGCAUUCCCUCGCCUUAAAGUUGCCUAGAUUAAACGUGUCCCUUUCCGUACCAUGUGAAGUAACUCAUCGUGUUCGUCUACUCUUCUAGUUAUCCGAUAACAUGCAUUCUGCUCACAGAGCUGUGUCUGGUGAACAAACCACAUAGAUAUUUCUAUUGUGCUGGUGCAACAUUCCUGAUGAUUUGCAUUCCUGACCAAUGAAAGAAGUCCACAAUGUGCCCCUGGGUUAUGAUUGUUACUUCUGGUUUGCUUGAAAGUUUGCUGUGUAAAAUGCAACCAGACUACCUGGAGAUUGAAUCAAAGAAACUAUUCAUCUGAUCCAGAGCAAAGCAAGGUGGAAUAUGGGUGUGAAAACACUUAAAGACGGGGCCCCUGUCUCUCCGAGUCUAUGCAUUUUAGCACAUUUGGUCCCCCGGUGCUGCGUUCUUCCACCCCUAUUGUUCCAUCAUUUCACUAAUGACUGUACCUCCUUUGAUAAUUCGACAAAAAUUGUGAAAUCUGCUACUGAUAUAAUAGUUGUGGGUCUCAUCACUAAUAUUGGUGAGACCUGCUACUGGAGGUGGACCACAUGUGCUUUUAGUAAUCGAGAACUUGGCACCAUCCAAAGAAUGGAAACGGUGACUGGCUUCUGCAGAUGCCCGUCUUGUCUGUCUGCACCAUGGGUAUCUUUGGCCUGACUGUUUCCAUGGUCGAGUCAUUUGAGUUUCUGGGGGCAACCUGAAGUGAGACAAAGACCUCACUUUGAUUAUUGGGAAAUCACAGCAUGGGAAACUCUGUCCUACUAAAGUUUUAUUCAACCAUCAUCAAGAGUGUUCAGGCUUUUUCUAUCACUGUCUGCACUUUCUUUCCGCUUCCUCCUUGUUCAAGACGAGGCUACAUCAGGGGCAUUCAAUCCAGCUGUCACUCACUCUGGCAGCCAUUUAUUCACCAGAUUACCAUCCCAGAGAUGGCGCAGGUCCUUUGUCACUUGGACUACACGCAGUCUUCAUGGCUUCUUUCCCGUAGACAUUCUUCUCUUUAAUAAACUUGCUCAGGUGUUACCCCCUUUCCUUGUCUACCACAUCCUCAUUGUUCUUGAUACUUUUUGUCCUCCAUUGAGAACUUCAUCCUCUUGUUGUAUACGACUGGUGCUAACUUUGUUUGCUGUCUGGUGCUGAUAUUGUCCAAUAUUGUAUGUUAUAGCAGGCUGACAUACUGGCAAUAAAGUUCUGAAUGUAAA